rnacentral:rRNA from 1 species
CUAAGCAUAUCAAUAAGCGGAGGAAAAGAAACUAACAAGGAUUCCCCUAGUAACUGCGAGUGAAGCGGGAAAAGCUCAAAUUUAAAAUCUGGUGGUCUUUGGCCAUCCGAGUUGUAAUUUAGAGAAGCGUCUUCCGCGCUGGGCCGUGCACAAGUCUCCUGGAAUGGAGCGUCACAGAGGGUGAGAAUCCCGUCUUUGGCAUGGACACACCAGGGCUUUUGUGAUGCGCUCUCGAAGAGUCGAGUUGUUUGGGAAUGCAGCUCAAAAUGGGUGGUGAACUCCAUCUAAAGCUAAAUAUUGGCGAGAGACCGAUAGCGAACAAGUACCGUGAGGGAAAGAUGAAAAGCACUUUGGAAAGAGAGUGAAACAGUACGUGAAAUUGUUGAAAGGGAAACGCUUGAAGUCAGUCGCGUUGACCGAGACUCAGCCUUGCCUUGGCUUGGUGUACUUCUCGGCCGACGGGUCAGCAUCAAUUUUGCCCCUUGGAUAAUGAUGGGGGAAAUGUGACACCUUUAUGGUGUGUUAUAGUCUCUUGUCGCAUGCGAGGGUCGGGAUUGAGGAACUCAGCACGCGCCUUUGGGUGUCGGGGCUUUGCCCACGAUACGUGCUUAGGAUGUUGGCGUAAUGGCUUUAAACGACCCGUCUUGAAACACGGACCAAGGAGUCUAACAUGCCUGCGAGUGUUCGGGUGGAAAACCCGUGCGCGUAAUGAAAGUAAAAGUUGGGACCUCUGUCGUGGAGGGCACCGACGCCCGGACCAGACCUUCUGUGACGGCUCUGCGGUAAAGCAUGUAUGUUAGGACCCGAAAGAUGGUGAACUAUGCCUGAAUAGGGUGAAGCCAGAGGAAACUCUGGUGGAGGCUCGUAGCGAUUCUGACGUGCAAAUCGAUCGUCAAAUUUGGGUAUAGGGGCGAAAGACUAAUCGAACCAUCUAGUAGCUGGUUCCUGCCGAA